rnacentral:rRNA from 1 species
UACGGAGGAUGCAAGCGUUAUCCGGAUUUAUUGGGUUUAAAGGGUGCGUAGGCGGACUAAUAAGUCAGUGGUGAAAUCUUCCGGCUCAACCGGGAACCUGCCAUUGAAACUGUUAGUCUUGAGUACGGCUGAGGUAGGCGGAAUGUGUAAUGUAGCGGUGAAAUGCUUAGAUAUUACACAGAACACCAAUUGCGUAGGCAGCUUACUAGACCGUAACUGACGCUGAGGCACGAAAGCGUGGGUAGCGAACAGG